rnacentral:rRNA from 1 species
UCCUACGGGAGGCAGCAGUGGGGAAUAUUGGACAAUGGGGGGAACCCUGAUCCAGCCAUGCCGCGUGUGUGAAGAAGGCCUUAUGGUUGUAAAGCACUUUAAGCGAGGAGGAGGCUCUCUUGGUUAAUACCCAAGAAGAGUGGACGUUACUCGCAGAAUAAGCACCGGCUAACUCUGUGCCAGCAGCCGCGGUAAUACAGAGGGUGCGAGCGUUAAUCGGAUUUACUGGGCGUAAAGCGUGCGUAGGCGGCUUUUUAAGUCGGAUGUGAAAUCCCCGAGCUUAACUUGGGAAUUGCAUUCGAUACUGGGAAGCUAGAGUAUGGGAGAGGAUGGUAGAAUUCCAGGUGUAGCGGUGAAAUGCGUAGAGAUCUGGAGGAAUACCGAUGGCGAAGGCAGCCAUCUGGCCUAAUACUGACGCUGAGGUACGAAAGCAUGGGGAGCAAACAGGAUUAGAUACCCUGGUAGUCCAUGCCGUAAACGAUGUCUACUAGCCGUUGGGGCCUUUGAGGCUUUAGUGGCGCAGCUAACGCGAUAAGUAGACCGCCUGGGGAGUACGGUCGCAAGACUAAAACUCAAAGGAAUUGACGG